CAUUAACUCUGAAUGGUUAAGGUUAGGCAUUAACUCUGAAUGGUUAAGGUUAGGCAUUAACUCUGAAUGGUUAAGGUUAGGCAUUAACUCUGAAUGGUUAAGGUUAAGCAUUAACUCUGAAUGGUUAAGGUUAGGCAUUAACUCUGAAUGGUUAAGGUUAAGCAUUAACUCUGAAUGGUUAAGGUUAGGCAUUAACUCUGAAUGGUUAAGGUUAGGCAUUAACUCUGAAUGGUUAAGGUUAGGCAUUAACUCUGAAUGGUUAAGGUUAGGCAUUAACUCUGAAUGGUUAAGGUUAG